rnacentral:rRNA from 1 species
GAUGAACGCUAGCGGCAGGCCUAACACAUGCAAGUCGAGGGGUAGAGGAAGCUUGCUUCCUUGAGACCGGCGCACGGGUGCGUAACGCGUAUGCAAUCUACCUUAUACAGGGGAAUAGCCCAGAGAAAUUUGGAUUAAUGCCCCAUAGUGUUAUUGAAUCGCAUGGUUUAAUAACUAAAGUUCCAACGGUAUAAGAUGAGCAUGCGUCCCAUUAGUUAGUUGGUAAGGUAACGGCUUACCAAGACAAUGAUGGGUAGGGGUCCUGAGAGGGAGAUCCCCCACACUGGUACUGAGACACGGACCAGACUCCUACGGGAGGCAGCAGUGAGGAAUAUUGGACAAUGGGCGCAAGCCUGAUCCAGCCAUGCCGCGUGCAGGAAUAAGGUCCUAUGGAUGUAAACUGCUUUAUACAGGAAGAAACACACCCUCGUGAGGGUACUUGACGGUACUGUAUGAAUAAGGACCGGCUAACUCCGUGCCAGCAGCCGCGGUAAAGUG